AGAGUUUGAUCCUGGCUCAGGACGAACGCUGGCGGCGUGCUUAACACAUGCAAGUCGAACGAGAAUCACUGGAAGGAGUUUUCGGACAACGGAAGGUGAGGACAGUGGCGGACGGGUGAGUAACGCGUGAGGAACCUGCCUUUCAGAGGGGGACAACAGUUGGAAACGACUGCUAAUACCGCAUGACACAUAGAGACCGCAUGGUUUUUAUGUCAAAGAUUUAUCGCUGAAAGAUGGCCUCGCGUCUGAUUAGCUAGUUGGUGAGGUAACGGCCCACCAAGGCGACGAUCAGUAGCCGGACUGAGAGGUUGACCGGCCACAUUGGGACUGAGAUACGGCCCAGACUCCUACGGGAGGCAGCAGUGGGGAAUAUUGGGCAAUGGGCGCAAGCCUGACCCAGCAACGCCGCGUGAAGGAAGAAGGCUUUCGGGUUGUAAACUUCUUUUGUCGGGGACGAGUAGAAGACGGUACCUGGCGAAUAAGCCACGGCUAACUACGUGCCAGCAGCCGCGGU
rnacentral:rRNA from 1 species